GCGGGAGUGGUGGAAUUGGUAGACACGCUGGAUUUAGGUUCCAGUGCCGUAAGGCGUGAGAGUUCGAGUCUCUCCUUCCGCA
rnacentral:tRNA from 2 species